rnacentral:lncRNA from 1 species
GCGCGCGCCGCCAGCCGGGGGCUCGCGCCAGCCACGAGGGAGCGUCCGCGGCCCGCGCGCCCGCGCGGCGGAGGAGAGGUGAUAAGUGUGAUGCUUCCGUAAUACAUUUGGAUGUUGUCAGCUAAGUUCACUUCUGAACUAAGGGGUUCCUCCAAAUGUUGGCUGAAAUUUGUCCUUGCACAUCCCAAGGCUCGUCUGCAAAGUCUACAAUUCAUAAUGGAGCUACUGUACUGGCUAUUGGAAGGAGGAGAUUCUGAAGAUAAGGAGGCUUUUGGAGCUGGAGAAGACUUGUUUUUCAGAUGAGGAAACUGAGUCCCAGCAAGGUGAAAUGACUUGCCGGUGAGGAAAUGGAGACUCAGAGAAGAUGAGUCGUUACUUGAGUUUAUGAGAUUUAUGAAUGAGAGAACUAGGACUUGGACCAAUAUCUGUGUGAUGCCAAAACUGGUACAGUCAUGUUCUACUGUUCCCCUUCUCCAUCUCAGCAUCACAGAAUCACUGGUUGGACUCAUGACAUCUCAGAGGAAGAAAGAUCCUAGAGGCCAUCGGUCUGGUUUCACUCCUGUCAGCACUGGGGAGAAAACCUAAGGCAUGCAUUUCCAGUAACCAAUCAUUUGCAGAGGAGCAAAGUUUGUCAUCGUGAUACACUAGAUCUUCGAUGAUAUCAAUAAGGAAACAUCCACAGCCUUUGGUUAAAAGACUCUGAGACUUCAAGGACUGCUGACUGUCCAGAAGAGGCUGUGGUGGUUCAAGUGAGGCUUAAGGCUGUAGUUACACCAAUCUGUCACUCCAGAAGAGUCCAAGGCUGCUGAUCAGAGUGAACCUCAGAACAGAUAGCAGUGGCACCUAGAGGGUAUAACCUCAACAGCAGACGAGGUGUUGGUGGAUGAUUCCUGAUUAUGGAUUCCUCUUCAUCUCUCUUAAUUUAUAUUCCAAGCUGUUAACCUAGAAUAAAUCCUACCAUAUCUAAUUAAUGCACUAAUCAAACUUUGUUUUGAAUGGAAGGGGGGAAAAUAUGUUGAUUACCCCUGCUAGAGGGAUAGGAAAUAUGCCUAAAGCAGAAUAUCUUUCUCCAUCAUGAAUAACAUUAAUCUCUGUAGUUCUCACAAGUGAAUAAUUAUUAUAUAGUUUGCUUCCUAGUUGUAUGGCUUGGUAUUUAUCCUUUAUGAGUUUCCAGGUGACAAUUUGUUUCAGGAAGAAUUCUCUCCAGAAACAAUUUUUUAAGAUUAUCGUUGAAUUCCUUAAUAAAGAGUUGAAAGCCAAACUCACACUAGGUUAAAUGCAACAACAACCAAUGGACAACAGACUGAUCUCCAACUUCCUCAAUUCUUUUUUUUUUUUUUUUUUUUUUUUUUUGAGACAGGGUUUCACUCUGUCAACAAGGCUGGAGUGCAGUGGCUCAAUCUUGGCUCACUGCAGCCUGAACCUCCCAGGCCCAAGCAAUCCCGAGUAGCAGGGACUCAGGCAUGCACCACCACACCUGGCUAAUUUUUUGCAUUUUUUGUAGAGAGAGGGUUUCGCCGUGUUGCCCAGGCUGGUCUUGAACUCCUGAGCUGAAGGUAUUUGCCUGCCUCGGCCUCCCAAAGUACUGGGGUUACAGGUGUGAGCCACCGCACUUAAUUGCCACCAGGAUUGAUUGGUAAGGCUAUGGAAGAGUUGUUGUCCAUUCCAAGUCUUCCCAUUGAAGCAACAACCAUGCCACAGCCUUAUUCUAUCCCAUGGCUAUCUUGUGCAUCUCCAAGUGUGCCAGUAUGAGGCCCUCAAACACAUCCAUACCCUCCGAUGAGAUAAUGUUGGUCAUGAUAACCAUGGGGAUGUCACAGCCGCUGUUCCACACUCUAAAUAAUUCUCAUUUUGUUCUAACAACAACAAUUUGAAAUGGGAAGAACCACCCCAUUUUAGACAUUUCAAAAUGAGGGCUUGGAUAGAUUGUGUACCUUGUCCAAGGUCACACAACCAAAUGGCAAGGUAGGGACUCAACCUAGUUCCAUCUGCCUCCAGUCCAAAACCCAGGGCUGUCAACUGCCACCCUCAUUAUCUCUACUGAGAUACUGGCUUCCCUGCGGUGGCUGUUGAGGCUGGAAAACACAGGCCUGAGAGAACUUUUAAAUAUGAAAUGAUAGCUCUUUGCCUACCGAGAUCCUUAUUUUUAAAAACCCAGAGGAAGAUCAUAUUUAUAUAUUUAUUCAACAUUCAUGUAUGAUAUUUAGAUUUACAAAAUGCUUUAUAGUGUAACAGAAUGGGCAGAAAUUUUUACUCGGGCUUAUAAUUGUCUUUUCUUUCAUAUUCAUUUAUUCCUUUGAUUUAUAUAAUGUCUUCUCUGCUUGGUCUUCUGAGAUUAUGUACAAUGGUAACAAAUCCAAAAUAAUAUUAAUAAAAGAUUAUUUUUUAUCACUCACAGGGAAAACUGACUAGGGCCAUGCGCGUCUCUGUUCUUUAGAAACGUUAUGUGAGAGAACAUAAUACCAUCCCCUGAAUACUGUCUGUAAUGCCGGCUAUGCUUAUUCAUAGUGCUUUAAAAAUAAAUUUAACUCCUGUUCC